GUGCCAGCAGCCGCGGUAAGACGAACUGUCCUAACGUUGUUCGGAAUCACUGGGCUUAAAGGGCGCGUAGGCGGUCCGCCAAGUCAGGGGUGAAAUCCUGCAGCUUAACUGUAGAAGUGCCUCUGAUACUGGCGGUCUUGAGGGAAAUAGGGGUGUGCGGAACUUCCAGUGGAGCGGUGAAAUGCGUUGAUAUUGGAAGGAACGCCGGAGGCGAAAGCGGCGCACUGGAUUUCUUCUGACGCUGAGGCGCGAAAGCUAGGGGAGCAAACGGGAUUAGAUACCCCCGUAGUCC
rnacentral:rRNA from 1 species